rnacentral:lncRNA from 1 species
AACUAUACGCGGAUUAUUGAUGCAAUUUGGAAUUUUCUCUUCGCAGCAGGUCUUCGAGUCUCGUUGAGCUGAACUUGUACUCUUAGAAGCUGGUUUGGAAGGUAUUCUAACCUGAGGUAAGCAGGGAUUUCAGUUAGAAAACUGAAUUCGCAAGAUUCCGACUAUAUUUGCUAAUAUAUGAUGAUUUUGAUGUCGUGUUGGUGUUGUUCGCAGCGAGAGGGUGUUUGACCCUUGGACCGCCUUCGUUUGGCCUUGGAGGGCCUUCUGGAAGCUUAACGUGAGGUAUUAAGCUAAGCCAAAACAGGGAUUUAAGCUAUUCCAAUGUACGAAGUGUAAUUGCGCCGAAAUUGGCCUUUUCGAUCGUAAUUUUGAUACGAUAUGUAUGCUUCGUGCUCAGCAGGAUUGCGACCUAGUGGAGCUGAUCUUUGGAACUCCUUGGACUGUUUUGGAGCCUAGUACUAGGUGGGUCGGACCUAACCAGAGCAAGUGAAGCUCCCCUAUGUUCUAUAUGUAUUAUAGACGUGGUUUAAUUAUAUGCCUAUGUGAUGGUUAAGGGACUCGGAUUUCGUCAUCAUGACGUUUAUCUUAUGUGAAAUGAGUGUUCAUGCAUAAAAGUGUUCAUGCAUUAAGGCAAUCUUGUUUAAUUCAGUAGAACAAUUAGGAGAUCAGUUUAUUAUGUUUCUAUGAUAUAGAGAACAUAUAUACAUGAAAGUAUUUCCAUUUACAUUCAAUUCAGUUGAAUGACUUAUGAAUAAGUGUAGGAUGCACUUUAAAGUAGAGAACAAUGACAUUCUCUUGACUCUAAUGUAGAGAACUAUGACAUGCUCAUGAUUAUGUUGAUA